UCAAUGUUCUCAAAUUCUUAUCCAACGUUGUAUGAUUAUGGAGAUUUGUCUUGCGCCUCAAAUCUCACAACCCUCGAAUUUCAGAUAUUUUUUUAUUUGUCUUGCAGAUGCGAGCGUAUAGAUGGCGCAGUUCAUGCAGGAAAGGCGGAAAAAGAAAGGUCGAGAUGAUACGGAACGUGCAUUUGCUCUCUUUCUUUCGCCGAAUUUGCAAGGUGUUGGUUCCUCGUCUUCCUCUUCGCCGGCGCGACGCAAAUGACUUCGUUUGAGACCAAAAACUUGGUCCAGAAAAGGCAUUUCUGUUGUAAUGGCGGAACCCUCACUCUCAAGCACCGCUCCCUGAUCGAGCGCGGUAGACAACGCGCCGGCCAAGCUUGAGGCAAUGAAACUGAAAGAAGCAGUGAAGGAAGUCGAGAACCAGAAGAAAACGCAGAAGAAUGAUCUAUGGGUGAAAAGAUUUUUUCAAAAGAAGCUGACAUGAUGGGGAAUGAGUUACAAAGGGAUGACAUGGUUUCCAAGAGUUGCAACAAAGAUAAUAAUUCUGCUGCUGCUAUUCCUUCUGAGGUGGAGGAUGGCGGGGAAGAGGAAGAGAUGAUACUGGUAAAUUUAUCCUACCUACUCUCUGCAUCAUUAGCUUUAAUUGCCAUUACAGUAAUUGUUAUCCAGGAUGAAUUGAAAGAAACUUGUUCAACUUCUUACAAAAAUCUUUUUGCUA